rnacentral:rRNA from 1 species
GGAAUCUUCCACAAUGGGCGAAAGCCUGAUGGAGCAACGCCGCGUGUGUGAUGAAGGGUUUCGGCUCGUAAAACACUGUUGUAAGGGAAGAAUGACAUUGAGAGUAACUGUUCAAUGUGUGACGGUAUCUUACCAGAAAGGAACGGCUAAAUACGUGCCUG